CGGGAAUUCGAUUAGAGUUUGAUCAUGGCUCAGAACGUACGCUGGCGGCACGCCUAACACAUGCAAGUCGAACGAAGUAGCAAUACUUAGUGGCAGACGGGUGAGUAACAUGUAGGUAUCUGCCCUUUGGCCUGGAAUAACACGAGGAAACUUGUGCUAAUACCGGAUAAGUCUUUACGGAGAAAGCUUUAUGCACCAUUGGAUGAGCCUGCACUUGAUUAGUUUGUUGGUGGGGUAAUGGCCUACCAAGACUUUGAUCAAUAGCUGAUUUGAGAGGAUGAUCAGCCACAUUGGGACUGAGACACGGCCCAAACUCCUACGGGAGGCAGCAGUGGGGAAUCUUGCACAAUGGAGGAAACUCUGAUGCAGCGAUGCCGCGUGAGUGAAGAAGGCCCUUGGGUUGUAAAGCUCUUUCGUCGGGGAAGAAAAUGACUGUACCCGAAUAAGAAGGUCCGGCUAACUUCGUGCCAGCAGCCGCGGUAAUACGAAGGGACCUAGCGUAGUUCGGAAUUACUGGGCUUAAAGAGUUCGUAGGUGGUUGAAAAAGUUGGUGGUGAAAUCCCAGAGCUUAACUCUGGAACUGCCAUCAAAACUUUUCAGCUAGAGUUUGAUAGAGGAAAGCAGAAUUUCUAGUGUAGAGGUGAAAUUCGUAGAUAUUAGAAAGAAUACCAAUUGCGAAGGCAGCUUUCUGGAUCAUUACUGACACUGAGGAACGAAAGCAUGGGUAGCGAAGAGGAUUAGAUACCCUCGUAGUCCAUGCCGUAAACGAUGUGUGUUAGACGUUGGAAAUUUAUUUUCAGUGUCGCAGCGAAAGCGAUAAACACACCGCCUGGGGAGUACGACCGCAAGGUUAAAACUCAAAUGAAUUGACGGGGACCCGCACAAGUAGUGGAGCAUGUGGUUUAAUUCGAAGAUACGCGCAGAACCUUACCAACACUUGACAUGUUCGUCGCGACUUUAAGAGAUUAAAGUUUUCGGUUCGGCCGGACGAAACACAGGUGCUGCAUGGCUGUCGUCAGCUCGUGUCGUGAGAUGUUGGGUUAAGUCCCGCAACGAGCGCAACCCUCACUUUUAGUUGCCAUCAUUUAGUUGGGCACUCUGAAAGAACUGCCAGUGAUAAGCUGGAGGAAGGUGGGGAUGACGUCAAGUCCUCAUGGCCCUUACGUGUUGGGCUACACACGUGCUACAAUGAUAUCUACAACAGGAAGCAAAACGGCGACGUUAAGCAAAUCCUUAAAAGAUAUCUCAGUUCGGAUUGCACUCUGCAACUCGAGUGCAUGAAGCUGGAAUUACUAGUAAUCGUGGAUCAGCGUGCCACGGUGAAUGCGUUCCC
rnacentral:rRNA from 1 species